CCUUAUUAAGAGUAGCUGAGGGAACAGGCCCUUUGAAGCUCGGCAACCUGCUUUUGCAAGGUGCUAAAUCCUGCGGUCUUGACCGAAAGAUAAGG
rnacentral:ncRNA from 1 species